UGAAUUUUGAUUUAUUGUACACAAUUGCAGCACAACUUUUCAUUUGUCUGGUUGUACACGAUGUAGUGUUACACCAUAUGUGCAGUCAUACAUGUACCCAGGGUAAUGAUGUCCAUCUCAUUCCACCAUUCACUUUAAGAAUUCAGAUCCAUACUAACACACAUUCUCUCUCUCUCUCUCUCUCUCUCUCUCUCUCACACACACACACACACACACACACACAAACACACACGCAAUGUGGAUAGCUUUUGUUUGGUAUACAGAAAUUAAUCUGGAGAUUUCUAUUGCAUAAGUCACCAAGAAGACAAUUCCACAAAGAGUGGAUCAGAGAUUCAAGGAAAGAAAGCUUUGAAAAACAUUUUAACAAUGAAAACUUCAAAACUGCAUUGGAAGAGAAAUUUUCAAGGAAUGGAAACUAAUAGUUUGGCUUUACCCUUUAUGUGGCAAGUAGCUAAAUUAUGUUGGUUGUGUUCUAAUGUUCUCCUUUCAGGGUUAUAUGGGCAGACAGAUUGUAAACUGCCAAUCUGACUCCUGGCCAAAGGCAGAUUGGAGUUUGUACCUUUGCAAUGUGUGGUAUAAUUCUCAGUCUUUUCCAUAAUCUGUCUCUUCAUUUUUUCCCAUUAAGUUCCUAAAAUUAAAAUGCCCAACUUUGCACUCAACAGCUGUAUACUUCAGAAAAUCUGGUCUCUGGACUUUGCAGUAUCAGGUCCUUUCACUCCUGUUUUGUCAACCUUUUCCUGCACAUGUUUUUCCUUCAGAAAAUUAAUAUGCUCAAAUUUCUCCUUCAUAUAAAUAGAAGGAUUCUUCUUUCUCCACAAGUCUUUCUCUUUUUGGCCUUCAUGCUCUCUCUGUCCUGGUUCUCCUCCUACACUUCUGCAAUUCCUUCUGUGUUUUAGACAAGCUUCCCUAUUUGCCCAGUGUUGUUCACAAAAUAGUUGUUUUUGGUGAUCUUACUGUGCAUAUUCUUCUGAUUAUUCAAUGCAUUCAUUUUUAUUCCAUGAUCUACAUUUUUAUUUCUGUAAAAAUUGCUAUCCCUGAAUUUCUUCAAGCUUCUAGUUCAUAUAUCUCAUCAUUUACAUCUCUUUCUGGGUUUUCCUGGGAAAUACUCAAAUUCAGUAUGUACCAAAAAUAGCUAUUUUUUUCCUCCUGCAUCUAAGCACAUGGCACUGGCCAUCUGUUCACUUAGUCAUGUCAGAAACCUAAAAACUCUUUACCUCUUCAUUCAAUCUUCACAUAGAUUUCUGAGCUUCAUUGAUUCUCUUUUUUGAUAUUUUGCAAUUUCAUCUCAUUAUAUAAUACUUAAUACUUAGUUUAGAUUCUCAUUGGUCAUUUGAUUAUUGCUUAAUUGUUUUUCUUUCCCUGGUCUUAGCACUGAAGAAGAUUCAGAAUUUUCUGACUCAAACACAAAUCUGACCAUGUGUCUAUGCUACUAAAACCCUUCAAUAAUUUGUAUUAUACAAAUGAUAGGCCAAAAGUCUUUUAAAGGUGAAACAAUGUUUCAGUCCUAAUAUGAACUUCCAAAACUUGUCAGUUCCCAGUCAUUAUUUGAAUCCUAAUCCUCUCUCACUGAAACUUGAUGGGUCACUGUGACUGCUUUGGGAAAAAGAAGUGGUUCUCUUUAAAUUCUGAGGUUAAGAAAAAAAAGCAAUACAUUUCCUUCUGUCUCUAUCUUCAGAUAUUCAUUUAUGGAAACCAAUCACUAAUGUGAACCCAGGUAGUGUGGAGGGGCCACAGAUAGGUGUCAUGGCAAGAAGCCUCAGUGAAGAUUCAGAUUGUAAGCUGGUAUCAGUGAUGAUCCUGUGAGUGAUCACAUGUGAGUGAAUGGACCUGACAAUAAUCAGUUUCUAGGGAUUGUCACUGCCAGUCUUUAAAUCUUCCAGUCUUAGAUUGUGUGGAUUAGGAUAAACCAAAACAACAGCAACAACAACAAAAACAUUGUAACCCAUUCCCUCUGGGGAUUCCUGAUAUAUAAAAUUAGUGAACAUAAUCAAUGGUUUGAAAAAUUUUGUUAUGGAGGAAUAAGUAAUCAGAGUAAUUUUCUCCAUGAUUGACUAACUUCUUUGUCUUAUGAAUUCAUGUGCUUAGGAGUUGCUACACUGUGAUCUGAUCAUGUUGGAGUAAAAGUAGGUUUUUUUAAAUUGGUCAAGCUUCAUGUUUACUGAAAGCAUGUUUAAAUCUCUCAUGAAUGCAAGUAUGUUUCAAUGUUAGCAAAUCUAUCAAGGGAUCAAAGGACCCAUUUUAUCUCUAGAAAUUAUUUUUCUUAAAUUGCUUUAAGGUUUUAGUUAUGCAUAUAGUCACAUCAAACAUUUGUGUUAAUAUUCAUAUUUGCAUACUCUUAUUUUCAACCUGUAUGUAUAUUUUGUUUAACAUAUAUCUUUGUGAAUAACACAGAGUUGAAAAAUUUUAAAAUCCAGUCUAAAAAUUUUUUUAAGAGUAAUAAUCACCUCAUUGACUUUAGUUCUUAUCAUCCAUAUCUUUUUUUCCUUUUAUCUUGUGAUUACUUUUACUCAUAUUUCUUCUUAUUUUUAGGUUUUAUGCUUUGAUAGAGAUUGAAUACUUUUUUAUUCUGUUUCUUACUUUCCAUGUUUUGAAAUGAUACUCUUUUUUUUUAAAUGUUUUUGUGGUUACCACAGAAAUUACAGCAUGCCUACUUCAUUUUUUAAAAAGUACAGAAUUGAUGACUUUUCUAAUACCACAAAAUGUGCUACUAUUGUGCAAUAAGUCUAAAUAUUUCACUUCCAAAUAUUUUAAAUUCUUAUUAUUUUACAAAACUGAUAUUUUAUUGUUUGGCAGAAUUCCUUUAAAUGUGAUACUUUUGUCUUUAACUUUACCCCACAUAUCUUUAAAUAUGUCUUUAUAUUCUAUAUGAUUUUGUAUUUCUAUACUAUGUUCCAUGUAGAUUUUUAAAGUCUCU
rnacentral:lncRNA from 1 species